AUUAAAUGUAUUAAUAUACAUAACAGAAAUUAAUUAAUUGUACAACUAAUUCUCCCCAAAAAACCCCGAAUAAUCAUACUAAAUAAGUGCACGGAAUUAACCAUCGUGACUUAUAAUUAAAGACUGACCUAAGAGAGGUUUGGGACAGCUGAAAAAUAAUAAACAAAAAAAAUAAAAAAAAAUCCUGUAAAGGGAACACCCUAAGAGAGAAAUAUAAGAAUCAAUUAUAAUACUAAAAUAUAUCUUAUAAACUAAUUAACGAAGGUUUCAUUAGUGUCUUCGAUGGUGUCAUGAAUAAUUGGCGUUUUCCCAUCCGGUAAAAGCUCCAUAUCCAGCGACGAUUCAAAAGCUCCAUAAUCCGGAAAUAAAAUCACAGUCGAUCAAUCAGCAACCUGAACCGCUACUAUCAGUGAAACGCAUAUACACACAGGGAAUAGGUCUUGACAUCUAAAAAAUAUGGCACGGCAAAUAACUAUGUCCGACGGACAAAAAUGAAAAAAUGUUUUGAGCCAUUUACUAUAAACGAAAUUAAGGUCAGCAUACACAAUCUACAACAACAUCUCACUAAAAUAAUGAUAAUUUAAAUUAAAAGCCAAAUUAUUAUUAUGAAUCACCGAAAUAAGGAGCAAAAUUUUUCCCCGGAACUUGUGACUAAAUGUUCCGACGUCUGACAAAUACCCCCCACUCCGGUUAUAAACAAUAAAAAAUUAAUUAUUAAAAGUUAAAUUUUUACUAAAAUAAAUAUGAAUAGAAUUAUUGAAACAAUGAAAUUUAAAAUUCGUGUGUAAUAAAAUUACACAUCCUGGCAAUGGUCACCAUUCUGAGAGGUGACGACUUUGGCCACGCAACGGAUUGUGGAGUCGCCACCCUCAUGGCUCCCUUGCAAAAAGGAAAAUGGGUCGCCAACCACUUAGGCGAGGGUCUUGAUCAGAAAAGAACAACACCCGGACCAUAAGUGGAUUUAAUAGAAAAAAAAUUUAAAAAAAAUAAUAAGAAAACCAAUAAUAUGCAUUUCGAUGAGAUAAAGUGAAUUAAAAAAAAUUAUUGAUAUAUAAAUAUAUACUAAAAAUAUAAAGUGUUGUUGUAGACUAUAAUACGCUGAUACCUUGUAAAUAUAUAACCAAUAUGUUUGUUUGAUGUCACCAGUGGUGGACAUACUUUAGUAUGUCGAAGACCGUUACCUUAAAACUAGAGAAAUAUGAUUUAAAAGGAAAAAAAAAUAAGAUACACGUGAAUAUUGAAGAUAUUCACGCAAUAAAAAGAUUUUUGUUGAUUAAAAAAAAUUAAGGGGACUUUAUUAAAUUAUGACAAUUAAGUUAAUAGUGGACAAAACCCGAAGGCAAAAACCACUCUGCAAAUAAAGGGACAAAAGAAAAAAAAAAAAAAAAAACAAUUAUUAAGACAAAAAAAAUUAACCUACAACUUUUAAAUAUUACACGUGAAGUGUCUUCCGCAUCGGAACAAGUCCGUGUACUCCGGGCGCGGCGGAUAAUUUUUGUAAUCUGGCCGGCCGGACCGUACUUGGGUACUGCGGGAAUAAUAUAUAUAUAUAUAUGUUAAAUAUACAUGACACACCACUGACCAAUAACCUUAUAACAACAAACGCUAAAAUGAUUUAUCUAUCAUAAAAAAAAUAAUUUUAUGACAAAAAAAAAAAAAAAGAAAAAAGAAAGGCUCAAUACAUUAUUAAAUAAAUAAAAAAAAAAACAACAAUACGAUACCCAGUCCCGGAUGGGACUCAUCCUAAGAUGGGGAUCUCGGCCCCGGAAAUGGCCGACGCCUUGCUGGAUUAGUACAUUAUGUUUAUACAACGAACACGAGAAAAAAAACUAUAAUUGGCUGCACGCACACAGCAAAACAGACCACAACGGUGGUUCAAAGGGAAGAGAGACUACGAAAAAAUUUCUACACACCGGGCGAGACACAACGACGACGAAUCCGUUUGGGUCUUAAUCGGCUUAACGAUUUACAAAAUAUACAACAGAUAAAAAUAUGAACAAUAUUAGAGUUAUACAGGUAUGGACAGUGGUGGCCAGUGUAUGUGUCAUAUAGGGAACGAUUGUUAAACUGAUAAAGAAUAUUGUGUGUAUAGCGUUCACCUUGACAGCAACAGUACAGUUUUCUGAUUACACGGCCGGAUAUAACGUACGCGCGCCCAUUAGCAAAGCAAAACAGUAAUCUAUCUAUAUCAUACAAUUCACAUUUUGUCACGUUACAGAAACCCCCCUGAGAAAAUUUGACGUAAAACGACAUUAUAUGUUCCCUUAAUCUUCCCAUUAUCAGGAUCCGUGAAAAAUAUAACAAAAUUAAAUCAUAUAUAGAAGAAGUUAAAUUAAUGAUAACAAGUCAAAAUAUAAAAAAACUAGUGGAAGAAAAUAUUGAUCUCUGUAAAACAAAGCAUUACAAAAGCAAGUGAUAGAUUUACAAAGCUAUGCUAUAAUAUUAAGUAAUAAAUUGAGCGAAAAAAGUAAACAAUGAUUUUCUGUAAACUUAACUCUUAUUUUUCAAAAAAUAUAUCUCUUAUUUACGUUCUGCUACUACUAGCUCGUAGUAAUGACAAGCUAUUAAGACUUAUUAUCCCUGAGCUUGAGAUGGCCUUUUAAAAAGUACAAUGAAAAAACUAUGUGGCAAACUUAUUUGUGUAAUUGCUAUAAGAUUUAUGAAAAUUACUGUGGAAAGAUAUACCGGAAAUCAAUUAGAUAAAACACAAUAUAAUUUACCAAAAAAAAAAUGCCUUGGAUUACAUAGAUCAAAGACUUGAUAAGUACCAUUUACUUAAAUUUGUUUUAUUAACUAUUUGUAUUUAUUUUUUAGUUUAAUUUAAAAUGAACAUUAUUUUGUCUAAGUUUAUAAUUUAUAAAUAUAUAAUAAAAAUUGAUCACUUGUGGCUAAUUAAUUAAAUAAAAUGAAAACUAUAUUAAAAAUAUAAUUAAUUUAAAAAGUAAAAAAUAUUAAAUUUAAAAGCCACAAAAAGUUACUAAAAUGUAAUGUAUUUCAGAAACAAUUUUAUUAUCAUCACUAAACAUAUACCGUAUGUGUUGUAUGUAAUAUU